rnacentral:other from 1 species
CAGGGCGUCGGGGAGACCCGUAAAUUUGUUAGUUUUUUGUAUGAAAGUUGCAAACAUGGCAAUCGGUACUGUCAAGUGGUUCAAUGAUUCCAAGGGUUUCGGUUUUAUCACUCCUGAUGAUGGCAGCGAAGAUCUCUUCGCGCAUUUCUCCGCCAUCAACAUGAAUGGUUUCAAGACCUUGAAGGAAGGCCAGAAGGUCUCCUUCGACGUCGUGCAAGGCCCUAAGGGCAAGCAGGCUUCCAACAUCCAGAGUGCCUAAGCACCGGAUAAAAAUAUCAAAGCCCGCCUGGGUUCAGGCGGGCUUUUUU